rnacentral:rRNA from 1 species
CAUGACAGUCGUACGGUGAUCUUGGGAGCUUGCUCCUGGGUGAGCAGUGGCGAACGGGUGAGUAACACGUGAGUAACCUGCCCCUGACUCUGGAAUAAACGCUGGAAACGGCGUCUAAUACCGGAUACGAGACGCAACCGCAUGGUUAGUGUCUGGAAAGUUUUUCGGUCUGGGAUGGACUCGCGGCCUAUCAGCUUGUUGGUGAGGUAACGGCUCACCAAGGCAAUGACGGGUAGCCGGCCUGAGAGGGCGAUCGGCCACACUGGGACUGAGACACGGUCCACACUCCUACGGGAGGCAGCAGUGGGCGAAUAUUGCACAAUGGGCGAAAGCCUGAUGCAGCGACGCCGCGUGAGGGAUGACAGCCUUCGGGUUGUAAACCCCUUUCAGCAGGGAAGAAGCGAAGUGACGGUCCUGCAAAGAACACCGGCUAACUACGUGCCGCAGCCGCGGAAUACGUAGGGUGCGAGCGUUGCCGGAUUAUUGGGUGUAAAGACUUGUAGCGGAUUGCGCGUCUGCUGUGAAGUCCGGGCUCACCCCGGAUUCUGUGCGUACGGUCGACUAGGUGUGUAUGGGAACUGGAUUCUGGUGUAGUGUGAAUGCGCUAUUCAGGAGAACCCGAUGCUAUGCGGUUCUGGCCAUUCUGAUCUGAGAGCUAAGCAUGGGAGCGAAAGGAUAGAUAUCUGGUAGUCCUGCCUAAACGUGGGACUACGUGGGGUUCAUUCCCAAGUCUUGCACACUAACCAUAAUUCCCGCUGGGAGUCGGCGCAGGUAUAUCAAUGAUUGACGGAAGCCAAUCAUUAACUGACGCUAUCCUUAUGAGGUGAUCUACUCGUUA